rnacentral:rRNA from 1 species
UACGUAGGGUGCAAGCGUUUGUCCGGAAUUAUUGGGCGUAAAGAGCUCGUAGGCGGUUUGUUGCGUCGGCUGUGAAAUCCCGAGGCUCAACCUUGGGUCUGCAGUCGAUACGAGCAAACUAGAGUGUUGCAGGGGAGACUGGGAAUUCCUGGUGAUAGCGGUGAAAUGCGCAGAUAUCAGGAGGAACACCGGUGGCGAAGGCGGGUCUCUGGGCAACAACUGACGCUGGAGGAGCGAAAGCCGUGGGGAGCGAACAGG